rnacentral:rRNA from 1 species
ACGCUGGCGGCGUGCUUAACACAUGCAAGUCGAACGAAGAGCGAUGGAAGCUUGCUUCUAUCAAUCUUAGUGGCGAACGGGUGAGUAACGCGUAAUCAACCUGCCCUUCAGAGGGGGACAACAGUUGGAAACGACUGCUAAUACCGCAUACGAUCUAACCUCGGCAUCGAGGAUGGAUGAAAGGUGGCCUCUAUUUAUAAGCUAUCACUGAAGGAGGGGAUUGCGUCUGAUUAGCUAGUUGGAGGGGUAACGGCCCACCAAGGCGAUGAUCAGUAGCCGGUCUGAGAGGAUGAACGGCCACAUUGGGACUGAGACACGGCCCAGACCCCUACGGGAGGCAGCAGUGGGGAAUCUUCCGCAAUGGACGAAAGUCUGACGGAGCAACGCCGCGUGAGUGAUGACGGCCUUCGGGUUGUAAAGCUCUGUUAAUCGGGACGAAAGGCCUUCUUGCGAAUAGUUAGAAGGAUUGACGGUACCGGAAUAGGAAGCCACGGCUAACUACGUGCCAGCAGCCGCGGUAAUACGUAGGUGGCAAGCGUUGUCCGGAAUUAUUGGGCGUAAAGCGCGCGCAGGCGGAUCAGUCAGUCUGUCUUAAAAGUUCGGGGCUUAACCCCGUGAUGGGAUGGAAACUGCUGAUCUAGAGUAUCGGAGAGGAAAGUGGAAUUCCUAGUGUAGCGGUGAAAUGCGUAGAUAUUAGGAAGAACACCAGUGGCGAAGGCGACUUUCUGGACGAAAACUGACGCUGAGGCGCGAAAGCCAGGGGAGCGAACGGGAUUAGAUACCCCGGUAGUCCUGGCCGUAAACGAUGGGUACUAGGUGUAGGAGGUAUCGACCCCUUCUGUGCCGGAGUUAACGCAAUAAGUACCCCGCCUGGGGAGUACGACCGCAAGGUUGAAACUCAAAGGAAUUG